rnacentral:rRNA from 1 species
UACGAAGGGUGCUAGCGUUGUUCGGAAUUACUGGGCGUAAAGCGUGCGCAGGCGGCUUCUCAAGUCAGAGGUGAAAGCCCAGGGCUCAACCUUGGAAUUGCCUUUGAUACUGGCUGUCUUGAGUUCGGGAGAGGUGAGUGGAAUGCCGAGUGUAGAGGUGAAAUUCGUAGAUAUUCGGCGGAACACCAGUGGCGAAGGCGACUCACUGGCCCGAUACUGACGCUGAGGCGCGAAAGCGUGGGGAGCAAACAGG